ACUCAAAGGAAUUGACGGGGGCCCGCACAAGCAGUGGAGUAUGUGGUUUAAUUCGAAGCAACGCGAAGAACCUUACCAGGGCUUGACAUGGCAGCGACAGGUAUAGAGAUAUACCCUUCUUCGGACGCUGCACACAGGUGGUGCAUGGUUGUCGUCAGCUCGUGUCGUGAGAUGUUGGGUUAAGUCCCGCAACGAGCGCAACCCCUAUUGUCAGUUGCUAACAUUCAGUUGAGAACUCUGGCAAGACUGCCGGUGACAAAUCGGAGGAAGGUGGGGACGACGUCAAAUCAUCAUGCCCCUUAUGUCCUGGGCUACACACGUACUACAAUGGCCGUUAACAACAGGAAGCGAAGCCGCGAGGCGGAGCAAAUCCCCAAAAACGGUCUCAGUUCAGAUUGUAGGCUGAAACUCGCCUGCAUGAAGUCGGAAUUGCUAGUAAUCGCGAAUCAGCAUGUCGCGGUGAAUACGUUCCCGGGCCUUGUACACACCGCCCGU
rnacentral:rRNA from 1 species